rnacentral:rRNA from 1 species
UACGUAGGGACCGAGCGUUGUCCGGAAUCAUUGGGCGUAAAGAGCGUGUAGGCGGCUAUUUAAGUCCUGCGUGAAAUCCUGCGGCUCAACCGCAGACGGUCGUGGGAAACUGGAUGGCUAGAGUGCGGGAGAGGAGAGUGGAAUUCCAGGUGUAGCGGUGAAAUGCGUAGAUAUCUGGAGGAAUACCGGUGGCGAAGGCGGCAUCCUGGACCGACAUUGACGCUGAACGGCGAAAGCUAGGGGAGCAAACGGG